ACACCUUUCAUGUUUUGGAAGAAGUCAAAUUCGUAACACAAGGCAGCCAAAAUUAUCGUGCAAAGUCCAGCUUGUUACCUGCCGGAUACAGCUUUACCUGUGAAGCAGCACUUAUUGUUUUUGUCAUAUCUGGAGUUAUAUAGAUCCAAUGAACCUGAUAUUUGAACCAAUGGAAAGCUAACUCAAGUGGUAAUAAUUUGUCUGUUGAUCAUAAAUCCAAAUUCUCUGUACAAUGUAUCUGAAAAUUGGCAUCAAGUUGCAUGUUCCAGCUGUCUUGAAGCUGGACAGAAACAAGUUGCAUUGCCUACUUGAAUUUUGGAUGUUUCUUUGCCUAUAAAAGGGGACCUUGGCCACGAUUUUGAAGCAUCAAUUCUCUCCACCAUCUUCUAGUUUCCUUCAUUUUCUUUGUAACAUUUCACUAUGUAUUUCUAAACAUUUAGCUAGAGCUAAGGGUGAAACUUUGAUGAAUGUUUAGUAUUGUCUUUGAUCUUUCAUUUUGUUCUUCAAUGUUCAUCUUCUUACUUGGUUGAAGUUUGUGUUCUACAAAUGGUUUUGGUUUGUUAAAGACUUUGAUUUAUUGUUGACAAUUUUGGCACAAUAAAUGCUUAGAUAAUCUCUACAUACCAACAACUUAUUUUGACAUAUUCUCUCAAACAAUUAUCAAGAUCUAUCUUUCAAUAUAUUUGUGAUCAAUGUUUUAUCUUCCAUAUGAGAUCA
rnacentral:lncRNA from 1 species